AGACGUAGGUGGCUAGCGUUGCUCGGAAUCACUGGGCGUAAAGAGCUCGUAGGCGGUGGCGUAAGUCGGGAGUGAAAGCCCUCGGCUCAACCGAGGAACUGCUCUCGAUACUGCGUCACUAGUCGGUCGGCGGGGAGAGUGGAAUGCUCGGUGGAACGGUGAAAUGUGUAGAUAUCGGGUGGAACGCCGGAGGCGAAGGCGGCUCUCUAGCCGAUUCGAGACGCUGAGGAGCGAAAGCGUGGGGAGCAAACAGGAUUAGAAACCCCAGUAGUCC
rnacentral:rRNA from 1 species